AUUGAACGCUGGCGGCAGGCCUAACACAUGCAAGUCGAGCGACCGUCGGACGUGUGAGUAAUGUUUGGGGAUCUGCCCGAUAGUGGGGGAUAACUACUGGAAACGGUCGCUAAUACCGCAUACUAUCGGAUGAACCCUUAUGGGUUUAGCUAGUAGGUGGGGUAAAGGCUCACCUAGGCGACGAUCUCUAGCUGGUCUGAGAGGAUGAUCAGCCACACUGGAACUGAGACACGGCCCAGACUCCUACGGGAGGCAGCAGUGGGGAAUAUUGCACAAUGGGCGCAAGCCUGAUGCAGCCAUGCCGCGUGUAUGAAGAGGGCCUUAGGGUUGUAAAGUACUUUCAGCGGGGAGGCGGUACCCGAAGAAGAAGCAACGGCUAACUCCGUGCCAGCAGCCGCGGUAAUAC
rnacentral:rRNA from 1 species